GAUGAACGCUGGCGGCGUGCCUAAUACAUGCCAGUCGAGCGAACAGACGAGGAGCUUGCUCCUCUGACGUUAGCGGCGGACGGGUGAGUAACACGUGGAUAACCUACCUAUAAGACUGGAAUAACUUCGGGAAACCGGAGCUAAUACCGGAUAAUAUAUUGAACCGCAUGGUUCAAUAGUGAAAGACGGUUUUGCUGUCACUUAUAGAUGGAUCCGCGCCGCAUUAGCUAGUUGGUAAGGUAACGGCUUACCAAGGCAACGAUGCGUAGCCGACCUGAGAGGGUGAUCGGCCACACUGGAACUGAGACACGGUCCAGACUCCUACGGGAGGCAGCAGUAGGGAAUCUUCCGCAAUGGGCGAAAGCCUGACGGAGCAACGCCGCGUGAGUGAUGAAGGUCUUCGGAUCGUAAAACUCUGUUAUUAGGGAAGAACAAAUGUGUAAGUAACUAUGCACGUCUUGACGGUACCUAAUCAGAAAGCCACGGCUAACUACGUG
rnacentral:rRNA from 1 species